rnacentral:rRNA from 1 species
UACGAAGGGUGCAAGCGUUACUCGUAAUUACUGGGCGUAAAGCGUGCGUAGGUGGUUUGUUAAGUCUGUUGUGAAAGCCCCGGGCUCAACCUGGGAAUGGCAAUGGAUACUGGCAAGCUAGAGUGCGGUAGAGGGUAGUGGAAUUCCCGGUGUAGCGGUGAAAUGCGUAGAGAUCGGGAGGAACACCAGUGGCGAAGGCGGCUACCUGGACCAGCACUGACACUGAGGCACGAAAGCGUGGGGAGCAAACAGG